rfam:Ictidomys tridecemlineatus contig037863, whole genome shotgun sequence.
GUGGUUGUAGCUCAGUGGUAGAGCUCUUGCCUCACAUGUGUGAGGCCCUGGGUUCAAUCCUCAGCACCCCA